rnacentral:rRNA from 1 species
UGGGGAAUUUUGGACAAUGGGGGAAACCCUGAUCCAGCCAUCCCGCGUGUGCGAUGAAGGCCUUCGGGUUGUAAAGCACUUUUGGCAGGAAAGAAACGUCAUGGGUUAAUACCCCGUGAAACUGACGGUACCUGCAGAAUAAGCACCGGCUAACUACGUGCCAGCAGCCGCGGUAAUACGUAGGGUGCAAGCGUUAAUCGGAAUUACUGGGCGUAAAGCGUGCGCAGGCGGUUCGGAAAGAAAGAUGUGAAAUCCCAGAGCUCAACUUUGGAACUGCAUUUUUAACUACCGGGCUAGGGUGUGUCAGAGGGAGGUGGAAUUCCGCGUGUAGCAGUGAAAUGCGUAGAUAUGCGGGGGAACACCGAUGGCGAAGGCAGCCUCCUGGGAUAACACUGACGCUCAUGCACGAAAGCGUGGGGAGCAAACAGG